rnacentral:rRNA from 1 species
UUAUUGGGUUUAAAGGGAGCGUAGAUGGAUGUUUAAGUCAGUUGUGAAAGUUUGCGGCUCAACCGUAAAAUUGCAGUUGAUACUGGAUAUCUUGAGUGCAGUUGAGGCAGGCGGAAUUCGUGGUGUAGCGGUGAAAUGCUUAGAUAUCACGAAGAACUCCGAUUGCGAAGGCAGCCUGCUAAGCUGCAACUGACAUCGAGGCUCGAAAGUGUGGGUAUCAAACAGGAUUAGAUACCCUGGUAGUCCACACGGUAAACGAUGAAUACUCGCUGUUUGCGAUAUACUGCAAGCGGCCAAGCGAAAGCGUUAAGUAUUCCACCUGGGGAGUACGCCGGCAACGGUGAAACUCAAAGGAAUUGACGGGGGCCCGCACAAGCGGAGGAACAUGUGGUUUAAUUCGAUGAUACGCGAGGAACCUUACCCGGGCUUAAAUUGCAGAUGAAUUACGGUGAAAGCCGUAAGCCGCAAGGCAUCUGUGAAGGUGCUGCAUGGUUGUCGUCAGCUCGUGCCGUGAGGUGUCGGCUUAAGUGCCAUAACGAGCGCAACCCUUGUUGUCAGUUACUAACAGGUUCCGCUGAGGACUCUGACAAGACUGCCAUCGUAAGAUGUGAGGAAGGUGGGGAUGACGUCAAAUCAGCACGGCCCUUACGUCCGGGGCUACACACGUGUUACAAUGGGGGGUACAGAGGGCCGCUACCACGCGAGUGGGUGCCAAUCCCCAAAACCUCUCUCAGUUCGGACUGGAGUCUGCAACCCGACUCCACGAAGCUGGAUUCGCUAGUAAUCGCGCAUCAGCCACGGCGCGGUGAAUACGUUCCCGGGCCUUGUACACACCGCCCGUCAAGCCAUGGGAGCCGGGGGUACCUGAAGUGCGUAACCGCGAGGAGCGCCCUAGGGUAAAACUGGUGACUGGGGCUAAGUCGUAACAAGGUAACC